rnacentral:rRNA from 1 species
AMCGCGAAGAACCUUACCUGGUCUUGACAUCCACGGAAUUUGGCAGAGAUGCCUUAGUGCCUUCGGGAACCGUGAGACAGGUGCUGCAUGGCUGUCGUCAGCUCGUGUUGUGAAAUGUUGGGUUAAGUCCCGCAACGAGCGCAACCCUUAUCCUUUGUUGCCAGCGGUYMGGCCGGGAACUCAAAGGAGACUGCCAGUGAUAAACUGGAGGAAGGUGGGGAUGACGUCAAGUCAUCAUGGCCCUUACGACCAGGGCUACACACGUGCUACAAUGGCAUUUUCAAAGAGAAGCGACCUCGCGAGAGCAAGCGGACCUCAUAACGUUUCUAGUCCGGAUUGGAGUCUGCAACUCGACUCCAUGAAGUCGGAAUCGCUAGUAAUCGKGAUCAGAA